rnacentral:lncRNA from 1 species
CCAUGUAUGCUCUACAGGGAGGAUGAGUCAGAGAAAGUUGACAAAGAACGAAAACGGUCAGGUAGGGACAUUAAAAGGCGGCCGGCAUAGUAGAACAGGUCCAGUAGGAACUCCCACACCCCUCAAACUGGGCUAAGUGAUUCCAUAGAUUUGACAUCUUGCUGUAGAAAUCAAUAAGAGUCUAACCCGAUUCGAAAUGGAUGUGGUGAUGCUCAAGUCCCGACUGAUACUCACUGGCUCCAUCAACUGAAGAAUACCGCUCAUCCAAAUAAUCCUAAACCUCUUUAGCAGUCUCAAAUGGAGUAAAUAGUGAAUGGAUGGAUGGAACUGAAGUGUUGGAGAACCGGGUGAUAAUCUUGGAGUUGUCACUGUCCCAGUCUUCAAGCUUGGAUCGGUACUUGGCAUGAAAGUCAUCAUUAUCUUCAGCGAAAUCGGAAAAGUGGGGUGAUUGUGCAUUUCUUGUGAUAUAUUUUUAGAAUUUCUGGGUUCGAAAGAACCGUUGCAUGGCAAAGGACCAAAGGCGAUAGUUGGAUUCAUCGAGGAUGAUGGAAAUAGGCUGGAAGACUUUCGAUUGGUGCGUGGGCGCGUUGGUUGCACGUGAACUCAUCCUUCUUCUCCUCUGGUGGCGCGUGUCGGCACAUGGAUCUGACAUGCCGAUGAACUAAUAAAGCGUGUGGGCUCGUGUGGGCCCGUGAGGGCUUUGUUGCGAAUUGUUUUUAAUGAUUUGGAAUUGUCUCUUCAAUACGAAAUCAAAGGACGAUUCGGAGAAGAUUUUGACAUGACUUGAGGCCCGACAGUGGCUGGUUUGGUGGUUUUGGACUGGUUUUUGAGCUUUUGAUGGGUUGCAGAGUGUUUAGGCUAUAUCUAAGUAUGAUAGUUGGCGGAUUGUUCUUCGCCAAUGGGUGCCGGAGUAGUGCCAAAGGGUAGCGGAAGAGUUAGGCCAUAGAGCAUGGCUUUGAUACCAUGUUAGAAGAAGUUAAAGAGAGAGAAAUAAUGAGAGAGAGGGGGAAUUUAUGUAUAUUGUAUUCUGUGAGUAAAAUAGUACAGACGAGUCCUCUUUACAUAGAGAAUGAUCAAAAAGUAAUGGUUUACAUUAGGGAUGGCAAUUUCCCCCGUCCCUCUUCCCGCCCCGAUCUAGGUGAAUAUUUUGGGGAUUGGGGAUAAAAAAAAAUUCGGAGACGGGGCGGGGACGAUUUUGUAUAUCUCCCCGCCCCGAUCCCCAAUUCCCGCCCCGAAUUAAGUGCAUAUGUCCAAAAUGUUUGGGCGAAUUGUAUUUGUUAUAAACCUUAGGAAGGUUAAUGUAAUUUACCAAAAAUAAAAUACGUAAUGGUAUUUAUGCAAAUUACAAUGACAAUAGAGGCCAAUCUGGUACUCAAGCACAAUAUAUAUACUCUCCAACCCAUAGAAACCCUAGACCCCAUCCAUUGCGCCGAGUGAAGAGAGAGAGAGAGGUGGAAUCCAGUUCGUGUCUCAGUCCGUACCAGCUUGGAAGUUCCACGAAUCAGCGCCGAUGACCAUUCCAAUGGCGCCGAGGAAGGUCCGGAACGGCGAGCUCAUCGCCUUGGACCACGGUGACGAGGAUGACGACGAGAUGUUGCCGCCGCACGAGAUCGUCGUGAGAGGGUCGGCGAUAUUGCCGAAGACGACCUUCUCGGUGCUCAAAGGCGUCAGGUGGUUGGUAUUCUGCGACGCCACUGUAUGUCUUCGUCUUCAUCUUCAUCAUUGACAUGUCUCUAUUUCUCCAUAUGUUCCCAAACUUAUUUACAAGUAUCUCAGGCGCAUGUGAUUAAUGGGUACCACUGGGGUACCCAUUAAUAGUUACUAAUUGGGCAGAACUUUCUUUUUUAUCAGUGAGCAUGGAUUGAAUUUCUUCCAAUUCUGGUUUAUACCCUCAUUUAAUUUAUUCUCCUUCCUCAUCAAUCCCCUUAUUACAACUGAAGAUCCUAAAAUUCUCGUAAUAUUUAUCGGAUAAUGAGCCAUUAAACGAUACCCCACGCUUGCAGACCUACGUAACCUCAUCCAUGAUCAUCCAAGCACAUAGGGACACAAACAUUCGUUUCACUACACAAUGCAAGCCUAUUGUCUUUAUUUUUGCUUUAUUUCGGUUUCUAUAUCUAGAUCUCGCAUUAAUUAUGAAUUAAUGUCAUCGCUCUCAUAUCUUUUAGUUUUUGAUUACUUUGUGCGGAGCAAACCCUAAUUCACUAGAAAAAAAAUUCGGAGUUCGGAUUCGGUACGGGGAUCCUUGGUCUCCGUGAGGGGCAAGGAUAGGGGAUAUAACAAAAUUCCCGUUGGGGAUCGGGGCGAGGAUCGGGGAUUAAAAAAAUUUCGGGGAUCGGGGACGGGGAUACCAACCUUCGGCCCUGCCCCGCCUCAUUGCCAUCCCUAGUUUAAAUAAGGUAAUGGCAAUAAUAUAAAUGAGGCAAUCGUAUCAAUCAGUAUAUAUUAUGAUAUAUAAUAUAUUCUGAGUAUCAAUUAAGAAAAUAUUCAGAAUAUAUUAUAU